UAGCUUCCCCAACCCCGACCCCGAGCCCCCGACUCCAUUUUUUUUUCUCCUUCUCCUUCUCCUCCAUCUCCGCUGUCUUUCUCCUCCAUCUCCGCCCCCUCCGCCCCGAGCUUCCCUAGCUCUUCCUGUUUCUCUUCUUCUCCUCUGUCACCCGACCUGCCCUAGCCCUUUCUAUUUUUCUUCUCCUCCGUCUCUGCGGGAGGGCGACUGCCAGACUCUUUUGUUCCGUCUACUGAAAGAUAUCGCUCAUUUGCUUCUUCCUCUGCUGAACGGAGCCAUUGAGGAAGUUAUCUGCCCCCGUUGGUCUUUGUCGUUCAUCGGCCUCUUCAGUUGGAAGAAGAAAGAAGGAAGAAGGAGAGAAAGACUGGAGCUUUCGAGUGAUUGAAGAUUUCGGCAGUGGCAGUGAAGUCGUGUAUGCCCAUUUACAUGCAAAAAGGCAAACCAUGCCAAUAAGGUCUCCUUCUCAAAUCACAAGACAAAGAAAUUGCAGUUUGUAAAUUUGCAGUGCAAGAAAGUGUGGUGGAAAGCUGAAAAGAGGUACUUGAAAUUGAGGUUGUCCACAAAAGCAUUGAAGACCAUCAAGAAGAAAGGCUUAGAUGUUGUGGCUAAAGAAGCUGGCAUCGACCUCAUGAAAAAAUGAUGAUUUUGUAAUGCAUUUGGACUCUCCUUUUUAAACCUUACCUUUUCUUUUGUUCAAUAGCACAUGUUUUGAUAAUGGCUAUUUUUUUCCCAUUAAAAGUUCAGUGCUUGUGCAUCUGGGUUGAGUCUAUAGCUGUUAACUUGUGCUUGUUUUA